rnacentral:rRNA from 1 species
AUUGGACGCUGGCGGCAUGCCUUACACAUGCAAGUCGAACGGCAGCAUAGGAGCUUGCUCCUGAUGGCGAGUGGCGAACGGGUGAGUAAUAUAUCGGAACGUGCCCUAGAGUGGGGGAUAACUAGUCGAAAGCCUAGCUAAUACCGCAUACGAUCUACGGAUGAAAGUGGGGGAUCGCAAGACCUCAUGCUCCUGGAGUGGCCGAUAUCUGAUUAGCUAGUUGGUGGGGUAAAAGCCUACCAAGGCGACGAUCAGUAGCUGGUCUGAGAGGACGACCAGCCACACUGGGACUGAGACACGGCCCAGACUCCUACGGGAGGCAGCAGUGGGGAAUUUUGGACAAUGGGGGCAACCCUGAUCCAGCAAUGCCGCGUGAGUGAAGAAGGCCUUCGGGUUGUAAAGCUCUUUUGUCAGGGAAGAAACGGUAGUAGCGAAUAACUAUUACUAAUGACGGUACCUGAAGAAUAAGCACCGGCUAACUACGUGCCAGCAGCCGCAGUAACAC